GUUUGUUUUGUUUAAUUGGAGCUUUUAACAUUUUAUGGCUCAUUAGUUGUCUUAGUCAAAUUACCAUCACACAACUCUACUAUCAACUAUCAUGCAGGUGAGUUUCCACCAUCAGCUGUUUUUUUAUGCACAUUUUGAAGUAUCGCAUUAGAAAAGGUUGAUGGAAACGGCAAAAUUUUUUAAAACAAAUCCUUAAUAUCCCUUAAAAAGUUUUUACUCUCUCUAGAGGUGGUUUUUGCCUUUGUUGAUAAAAGUGUUAAUGCGCUAAAUGGGAGACAAACACUUUUGCCAAAUAAAUUCUGACGUAGCAAACUUGUAACUCACGUCUGAUCAGCUGUUUCCCUGUCGGCGUCUUGCGAGAUAGUCCUAUAAUACGCGGACACAUGGCUGGUUUGCCUGCUUGAAACACAUUUCUGAACACAUUUUUCUAAGCUCAAUGUUGGCGGCUCAGGCCAUCAUCAUCUUGGCAGUGGCUAGUCGCGCAUCACUCCUGGCUAAUCCAAAAAUGGGUAAAGAGGUGGAGCGUGGGUGAAGCUGAGGCAGGCUGAAUAAAGCACGGUUGCUGCAGUUAGCCCUGUUACUAGAAACAGCCAUUCCCUUAAUUAUGCAUAACUUUAAGGCUUAUAUAAUUUCAAUGGGUGACUAAUAUAAAUUAGCUAGAGGGAACAAAAGCAUUUUUUGUACCAUAAACAUUUUUAUUUAUGCUGGAAAGAUGGGCAUUUUAACAUGAGCAUUGACUUGGUUUUUGGAGCCAGUCUCAAGUGGGUUCGAUGAACCGCAGUUUUCUGCCCCACAGGUUGCCACAACAGACUGUUUACUUUGCUGAUUCAAGUAGGCGAGUAAACACUAAAAUAAGGUGAAGAAUGAAGUAUAAUUAAAAUGGUUAAACAAGAAAAAACCUCGAAAACUACAAAUAUACAUCGCUAACCCAGACCCCAGCCGCCGCCACCGCCUAUCUGUGGGGAAACACUGCAGAAUUAUUAUAAUUAUCCAUCUGCCUCUUUUGUGUUACUUUUAGCUGUACUUGAGGGGACCAAAAUUUUCAAAGCUUCAAAUCACAGUUUAUAUUAAUGUCAUGAAAGUCUGUGAAAAUAAUGAAGAUAAUAAGUUAAAAGAUGGUGCAUUUGUAUAAUACAGAGGAAAUUGGUGGCUUCAAACUCUCUUAAGAGCUCAAAGCUUUCUGCUGCCAGGCUGACAUCAACAGUUUUUAUGGGAUAAAAAAAGAAAGAAAAAAAACAACAACAUGAAAACAUUUUUGUGACCUUUAAAACUUUCCGGGGCUCAAAAAAUCUGGACGCUCACUGGGAUUAUUACCCAUCAUUUCGCACAGCAACUCAACAGCACUGCUGGAGAGGGAGAGAGGAAGAGAAUAAAAUGUCUUACUUAAAGCCCUCAAGGCCAUAAAAUGAUAAGCCCAAACUUUAGUUUGGUUUAAGAUACUUGUAUCUUUGCAAUAUGCAUUUUUAAUUAACUACUCAGGUUUCCAUACUUUUCGAAGCCUUCCAAACCCAAUCUCUAAGGAUUCAAAGCUGGGUCUUGGGUAGAUUAAAUUAUUUUAAUUAUAAACGUGUAAUUGUGUUUGAAACUAGAGGCGAGAAAAACUUGCAAAUACAUUCCUAAAUCCAUUUUAGUGCAUUACAAGCUUAAUUAAAUGCUCUUGCAUAGUAGGCGGACAGAUUAGCAGCCAGAAAAGGGUAAUAAUUUCCUGAAAAUCAUCUUACAAAUCAUCUUACAUAUCAUCUUACAUAAUACCCCAAAAAGUAGUUUGAGUGCACGGCGCUAAUGAGAACAGUGUGUUACACAACAAAGCGAUGAGGAGCCAGGCUGAAGGCACAACUCUUUGAAAUCUUAGCACUGUGUCAGCAUUUUAUCAUUCCAGCAUUACCCGACUGACCAGGAGGGGGGGAAACAGUGGGAUACUGCAGAGAGGAGGACAGUAAACGCAGCCUGAGACACUCAUGUGCUGCAGUUUGUGAGGCAUUUUGAAGGAAUUGGAGAGUCCUCAAGACACAAAGGUUGUGCUGAAUGAUAAAUAUGAACAAAUAAAAAUCAUAUUGUUUUGACA